UAUUUUAUUUACUGUACGUCGCUUUGGAUAAAAGCGUCAGCUAAAUGGCAUGUU
rfam:Gasterosteus aculeatus cont1.008843, whole genome shotgun sequence.